AGCUUCCUAUGCAUAAGCCAUAUUUGUUGUUGUUUUCUAGCGAAAGAACCGACAACAAACAUGCAAUAAGUUUUUCUUUUAAAUGAAGUAAAACAUAUUUCAUAAAAAAAAAAAAAUCGAAGAGGAUAUGUUUACGACUUAGGAGUGAUUCACCCAAUAAUGGAAAUGCGUUGAAAAAAUCUUUCAAAGCAAUAACAAGAUGAAAGGAUAACAUGCAAGUUACUCAUUGUUUUCGUCGGGGCCAAAGCUCGGAAUAGUUUCGUCGUUUCUCACAAUAGCCUAAAAAAAAACGUUUUGAACCAUGCUUCUUCUCAAGAUGGAAACAAGUUUAUGUAAGUAAACUACUGAUUUUCAAAACUUUAAAAAGAGAUUUUAAAUCAUACUUCCUAUCAAGAUGGAAACAAGUUUAUGACCAAAUUCAUAUAUUUUUUUAAUGAACUAUUUGCAUGUAUCAGGACUUAUUAAAGAAUAGAAACAGGAAAUAUAUGUUUGUUAUGCCAGAAAGAAUUGUGUAAAGAGUUAUAUAUUAUAAAUAAAUUAAUUCACGAAAUGUAUACAAAAUUUUACGUUUCAUUAUAAAGAUAUUAACAUUUGUUGCAUCAACUAAAUGAAAAAACACAAAGAAUAUGCUUUUCGUCAAAACUAUUAAGAUUAAAAACAGAAAAUAUAUGUUUGUUAUGCCAGAAAGAAUUGUGUAAAGAGUUAUAUAUUAUAAAUAAAUUAAUUCACGAAUUGUAUACAAAAUUUUACGUUUCAUUAUAAAGAUAUUAACAUUUGUUGCAUCAACUAUAUGAAAAAACACAAAGAAUAUGCUUUUCGUCAAAACUACUCGUAUUAAGAUUAAAAACAAAAAAUAUAUGUUUGUUAUGCCAGAAAGAAUUGUGUAAAAAGUUAUAUAUUAUAAAUAAAUUAAUUCACGAAAUGUGUACGAAAUUUUACAUUUUAUUAUGAAGAUAUUAACAUUUGUUGCAUUAACUAUAUGAAAAAAACACAAAGAAUAUGCUUUUCGUCAAAACUUUCCAAUUUGU